rnacentral:snRNA from 1 species
UGGUAUGAAUAGUGGCAGUAUCGUAGGCAAUGAGGUUUAUCCGAGGCACGACUAUUGCUAAUUGAAUAAUAUAUACAAUCACUGCUGUGCCAGAAUGUAGAAUGUAGCACAGAACUGACUGCAGAGCUUCUCCUAGAGC